CUUCCUGUGGCUCGGUCAGUAGAGCAUUGUGCCAGCAAUGCAACGAUCACAGGUUCAAACCCCAGGAAAA